CUUCUCCCUCCCUCCAAAAGGUUCACGCCUGGGAGAUCUCCGACCACUUGCUCCAGAUCCAGCAGGAUGUGGAGUCCUGUUACUUCGCAGCCCAAACCAUGAAGAUGAAAAUCCAGACCUCGUUCUAUGAGCUCCCCACCGAUUCCCACGUCUCACUUCGCGAUUCCCUGCUUUCCCACAUCCAGAAUUUAAAGGACAUGUCCCCCGUCAUUGUCACCCAGCUGGCGUUAGCCAUAGCAGACCUGGCCUUGCAGAUGGCUUCGUGGAAAGGCUGCGUGCACACCUUGGUUGAAAAG